UACAGAGGUCUCAAGCGUUGUUCGGAUUCAUUGGGCGUAAAGGGUGCGUAGGUGGCGCUGUAAGUCGGGUGUGAAAUUUCGGAGCUUAACUCCGAAACUGCAUUCGAUACUGCGGUGCUUGAGGACUGGAGAGGAGACUGGAAUUCAUGGUGUAGCAGUGAAAUGCGUAGAUAUCGAGAGGAACACCAGUGGCGAAGGCGAGUCUCUGGACGACACCUGACACUGAGGCACGAAAGCUAGGGGAGCAAACAGG
rnacentral:rRNA from 1 species